rnacentral:rRNA from 1 species
CAGUCGCCGCGGGAAUACAGAGGGUGCGAGCGUUAAUCGGAUUUACUGGGCGUAAAGCGUGCGUAGGCGGCUUCUUAAGUCGGAUGUGAAAUCCCUGAGCUUAACUUAGGAAUUGCAUUCGAUACUGGGAAGCUAGAGUAUGGGAGAGGAUGGUAGAAUUCCAGGUGUAGCGGUGAAAUGCGUAGAGAUCUGGAGGAAUACCGGUGGCGAAGGCGGCCCCCUGGACAAAGACUGACGCUCAGGUGCGAAAGCGUGGGGAGCAAACAGGAUUAGAUACCCCAGUAGUCCCUGUCUCUUAUAC